rnacentral:rRNA from 1 species
CCUACGGGAGGCAGCAGUGAGGAAUAUUGGUCAAUGGGCGCGAGCCUGAACCAGCCAAGUAGCGUGAAGGAUGACUGCCCUACGGGUUGUAAACUUCUUUUAUAAAGGAAUAAAGUGAGGCACGUGUCCCUUUUUGUAUGACCUUUAUGAAUAAGGAUCGGCAAAAUCCGUGCCAGCAGCCGCGUUAAUCCGGAGGUUCAGGGGGUUAUCCGGAUUUAUUGGGUUUAAAGGGAGCGUAGGUGGGUUGUUAAGUAAGUUGUGAAAGUUUGCGGCUUAACCGUAAAAUUGCAAUUGAUACUGGCAGUCUUGAGUGCAGUUGAGGUAGGCGGAAUUCGUGGUGUAGCGGUGAAAUGCUUAGAUAUCACGAAGAACUCCGAUUGCGAAGGCAGCUUACUAAACUGCAACUGACAUUGAGGCUCGAAAGUGUGGGUAUCAAACAGGAUUAGAUACCCGUGUAGUC